AUUGAACGCUGGCGGCAUGCCUUACACAUGCAAGUCGAACAGCAGCAUGGAAGAGCUUGCUCUUCUGAUGGCGAGUGGCGAACGGGUGAGUAAAGCAUCGGAACGUACCGUGUAGUGGGGGAUAACGUAGCGAAAGUUACGCUAAUACCGCAUACGCACUGAGGUGGAAAGCAGGGGAUCGCAAGACCUUGCGCUAUACGAGCGGCCGACGUCAGAUACGCUAGUUGGUAGGGUAAAGGCCUACCAAGGCGGCGAUCUGUAGCGGGUCUGAGAGGAUGAUCCGACACACUGGGACUGAGACACAGCCCAGACUGCUACGGUAGGCAGCAGUGGGGAAUUUUGGACAAUGGGGGAAACCCUGAUCCAGCCAUGCCGCGUGAGUGAAGAAGGCCUUCGGGUUGUAAAGCUCUUUCGGCUGGGAAGAAAUCGCACAGGCUAAUACUCUGUGUGGAUGACGGUACCAGCACAAGAAGCACCGGCUAACUACGUGCCAGCCGCCGCCGUAA
rnacentral:rRNA from 1 species